AGUAACUGCGAGUGAAGCGGGAAAAGCUCAAAUUUAAAAUCUGGUGGCCUUUGGCCAUCCGAGUUGUAAUUUAGAGAAGCGACUUCCGCGCUGGACCGUGCACAAGUCUCCUGGAAUGGAGCGUCAUAGAGGGUGAGAAUCCCGUCUUUGGCACGGAUGUACCAGGGCUUUUGUGAUGCGCUCUCGAAGAGUCGAGUUGUUUGGGAAUGCAGCUCAAAAUGGGUGGUGAACUCCAUCUAAAGCUAAAUAUUGGCGAGAGACCGAUAGCGAACAAGUACCGUGAGGGAAAGAUGAAAAGCACUUUGGAAAGAGAGUGAAACAGUACGUGAAAUUGUUGAAAGGGAAACGCUUGAAGUCAGUCGCGUCGGUCGAGACUCAGCCUUGCCUCGGCUUGGCGUACUUCUCGGCUGACGGGUCAGCAUCAAUUUUGCCCCUCGAAUAAUGGCAAGGGAAAUGUGACACCUUUUACAGGUGUGUUAUAGUCUCUUGUCGCAUGCGAGGGUCAGGAUUGAGGAACUCAGCACGCGCCUUUGGGCGUCGGGGCCUUGGCCCACGAAACGUGCUUAGGAUGUUGGCGUAAUGGCUUUAAGCGACCCGUCUUGAAACACGGACCAAGGAGUCUAACAUGCCCGCGAGUGUUUGGGUGGAAAACCCAUGCGCGCAAUGAAAGUGAAAGUUGGGACCUCUGUCGUGGAGGGCACCGACGCCCGGACCAGACCUUCUGUGACGGAUCUGCGGUAGAGCGUGUAUGUUAGGACCCGAAAGAUGGUGAACUAUGCCUGAAUAGGGUGAAGCCAGAGGAAACUCUGGUGGAGGCUCGUAGCGAUUCUGACGUGCAAAUCGAUCGUCAAAUUUGGGUAUAGGGGCGAAAGACUAAUCGAACCAU
rnacentral:rRNA from 1 species